CUACUUUUAAUAUCGACUCACUAGCAGACCAUAAAACUUGAUCAUUUGUGUUUUGGUGGUUUACUGUGACUCGAAGAGAAUAACCACAAAAUUUCGUUCGUGAUAAUUUUUAAAUGUUUAUUAUGGUGAAAUUUUGUGGAACAUUUUAUUAACUUCAUUUCCUGUUAUUGCGGUGCUCUACAAACAAUGCGAAACAUUUAGAAAUCUUCUAGUGUAUGAAAAAUCUUUAAAACUCAAUGCUACACGUCAGAAUUCCUCUAUCGAGAUAUGUCGAAACAUAUACUAUAAACCAUCAGGUUAUACAUCAGGGUUAAUCGAUCCAAUAAUUAGGGACCCAUAUAAAUUAAUAGGUUAUACAUCAGCGUUAAUCAAUCCAAUAAUUUUAUUAGUCACCCAUAUAAAUUAAUGUAAGUAUUUAUUUUAAUUAAUUUUUUUAUAAACAUCUUUAUAAUUUAUCGUCAUGAUUAUUUAUACCGCCCCAGGCUGAACAAUACC